GUGCCAGCCGCCGCGGUAAUACGUAGGGUGCGAGCGUUAAUCGGAAUUACUGGGCGUAAAGCGUGCGCAGGCGGUUGUGCAAGACAGAUGUGAAAUCCCCGGGUUCAACCUGGGAACUGCAUUUGUGACUGCACGACUAGAGUACGGCAGAGGGGGGUAGAAUUCCACGUGUAGCAGUGAAAUGCGUAGAGAUGUGGAGGAAUACCGAUGGCGAAGGCAGCCCCCUGGGCCGAUACUGACGCUCAUGCACGAAAGCGUGGGGAGCAAACAGGAUUAGAUACCCUGGUAGUCCACGCCCUAAACGAUGUCAACUAGUUGUUGGUAGGGUUAAACCUAUUAGUAACGUAGCUAACGCGUGAAGUUGACCGCCUGGGGAGUACGGUCGCAAGAUUAAAACUCAAAUAAAUUGACGG
rnacentral:rRNA from 1 species